AACUCGGCCCGGUCCGCUGGAAGCAUCGCACGCCGAAACACAGCCCGGGCGACCUCGGCGUCAUGGAUGGCCGAGCUCCCCUCGAGGAGUGGGGAUCCCGGCUCGGCCGACUCCUCCCUUGGGGCCCUUGAAGAGCUCGGCUCAUCCGAGCUGGGGACCUCGGGGCCCCCGGUCGGCCCAGGCCCUGGGCGCUGUAAAGGAAUCGUGGUCGGCCUCCCCCGCUGGGCGACAGGAGCGGGACAGAUAGGGGCCGUUGGGCCUGUGUCGCCGGCGUCCCGCGUACGCCCCUGGCAAAUUGUGGAGGCCCCCGCCCCCGCCCCCGGGCCUCCCGUCCCGGCCGAUGUAGAAGCACCGGCCGACCUCGACUUCUUCCGAGGCUGGGGAAUAGCCC
rnacentral:lncRNA from 1 species